CAGUAGCCGCGGUAACACGGAGGGAGCUAGCGUUGUUCGGAAUUACUGGGCGUAAAGCGCGCGUAGGCGGUUACUCAAGUCAGAGGUGAAAGCCCGGGGCUCAACCCCGGAACUGCCUUUGAAACUAGGUGACUAGAAUCUUGGAGAGGUCAGUGGAAUUCCGAGUGUAGAGGUGAAAUUCGUAGAUAUUCGGAAGAACACCAGUGGCGAAGGCGACUGACUGGACAAGUAUUGACGCUGAGGUGCGAAAGCGUGGGGAGCAAACAGGAUUAGAGACCCGAGUAGUCCCUGUCUCUUAUAC
rnacentral:rRNA from 1 species